GCGGCUACGACUGUAGUAGUGCCAGCGGCGAUAGCUGCAACAGCUGCGUUUGAAAAAGAAAAUGAAGGAAUGAGAGUAAGAGAGAGCAGGUGACUAUGCCUCUAUAUUCUGCAUGAGCUACAAUUGUGGAGGAAAAAGAGAAGACACAUGUAGAACACGAAACAGGGAGAGGACACGGAGGAAAAGUAGAAGGAUUUGGGCUGACACCUUCUUUGGAUCUUCGGAUCAAAAUAUUUGAAAGGCAAGUUUCCUGAUCGUUUCUCCUAUAAUUGCUCUAAAUUUUCUUAUUGCAAAUGUUCUGAUCCUUCCUAUUGCAAGUGUUUCGAUCAUUUCUAUUGCAAAUAUUUUGAUCCUUUCUAUUGCAAGUGUCCCGAUCUUUUCUCCUGCAAGUGUUCUGAUACUUCCUAUUGCAAGUUUUUCGAUCCUUUCUAUUGUAAGUGUUCCGAUCCUUCCUAUUGCAAGCUUUCUAAUCUUUCCUAAUGGAAGUGUCCUGAUCUUUCCUUACUACAAUUUAUUCUCUACAUUUUCUUUGAAUAUGAGGAACUUUGAAUUGUUCUAGCCUUGCAUUUGAUAUAUCUCCUGUUUAGACGUAACGAUUCGAAUCUGUGCAACUUCGGAGAUUCUGACCUUUCUAUCUUGUUAUGGUUAUAACUUCAUGUUUUGACCUCUGAUUUGGACAAAACUUAUUUGAUCAGAAUAUAGACUCAUAAACAUUUCUCUUGAUAACUUAUUUUAAGAAUUCAGAGUAAGUUUGCCUUCCCAAACUUCUGUUUCAAAUGAGCCUAUAGAUUCUGCAAAACAGGGAUCGUAAUUUCUGACCUUUUGAUACUGAACUGCCUAUAAGUCCCCGUUGAAAAUGUUGAUUUAUUCAAAGCUCCUUUCAUUAGAAACUAAACUCGUAGAUCUUUCUUUGAUACCUGGAUUGAAAGAUUUAGAGUCCAAAUGCCUACCCAGUUUUCUGUUGAAAUCGACCCUGUGAAUUAUGUAAAAUUGAGAUUUGUUCUUUAAUCUUGGGUUACCAAAUCUAUUGUAACUCUUUGUGGGAAUCUUCGAUUCAUACGAGACUUAUUUUAUCUGAAAAUAGAUUGAAAUAUCUUUCCAAUGAUAUAUUUCUAAGUAUAUUGGAGCACGAUUGAUAGUUUGAAUCAUUUAUUCAAUGUGCCUCUUGAAUUCUACCAGAAAUCGAGCUUUGGUCGAUUUCGCAUAUUCUGGUUUCAUUCCUUUGGAAAUUGAUAUCCUUUAGCUUUCUUAUUCAAUUGAGCUUUAUAUUACUGCUUUGAAUUCUUAUAUGCUCUUGUCCUUAAAAUUAUUUGCAUUCUUGAAAACUUUUGUGUAACGUUUAUGCUAUAUCGUAUUGACUCAUAUAGGCACAUGUAUAUCCCAUUGUUCUGCAUUUGCUUUUGAUAUGUGCCUAUUCCAGUUUCAUUCCUUUGGACAUUGAAUUUAUCUAACCUUCUUAUUUGAAUUGAGUUAUAUGUGAUUGCUUGGAAUCCUUGAAUGCUUUUGCUUUCAUUUCCUUUCAAAUCUGAAAACAAUUGUGAAAGAUUAUCGCUUACUUCGUAUUGACUCAUAAAGGCACAUGUACGUUUUGUUAUUCCGCGUGUGCUUCUGAUAUGUGUUAUUCAUUGUUCAUACUAUCCUUUUCUACUCUGGUGUUUGUGGGAUAUUGUGAACCUUUGUCAGAAAUGGUGAAGGGAGUUAUGCAUAGAGCCAGUGAUGCUCUGUCGGCCCUUAUGACUUCACUCAGACGUGGGUGGAUGGAGCUCCCAAACGUGGGAGACCUCCCAGACGUGGGAGACUUAUGUUUGGUGGUCAUUCAGAAAUGGAUGUACCAUAUUAUUUUAUGGUCCCACUUCACCUUCUGUAUGCUUGAUAUGGUAUCCAGAGCUUUGGUUAUGUGUUUCUAUACAUGCUUUGGAUAUAAAUGAUAUGAAUGCAAUGUCAAAUUCGACAUUUGAGCUUCUGUUUCGUAUUCAUCUUUGAAAUGCUCCGAAAUGGUCCAUACGCCAUUGAUCUGUUCCGAAAUGUUUCAUUUAUCAUUGAUAUGCUUCGAAACAUUACGUACGCCUUUGAUAUGCUACAAAAUGUUUCAUUUGUUAUUUAUAUGUUUCGAAAUGUUCCAUAGGUUGUUGAUAUGCUCCGGAACAUUUCGUAUGCUAUUGAUAUGCUCCAAUUACUCUAUGCUACAUCUGUUAUGAACCAAAUAUGUUUGAUUGAGUUGACAUUUGUGAUUCUGCCCUAAUGAGAUUACGUCUAUGAAUUAUGAUAUUCUGCCUUGCAUUUUGAAACCUUAUUUGUUUAGAAAUUGCCCUCUUUUACCAUGGAUAUGUUAGUAACUUGCUGAGCUUUAUAUGCUCACCCCAUUGUUGUAUAAAUUUUUCAGGAUAGCUUGUCGCUCGCUUAAAUGUUAAGGUUGGGCUGAGGCAGUGGAAAGCUAAAAGAUUUUGGGCAGAUCUUUAUUAGUAUAUAUGUUUUUGUUGUAUAAGCACACUUUGCAUCUAAUGAAAUGUUGACGAUGAAUCUAAACUUGUUGAUUUUGUAUAAGUUUAAAGGACCUCUCGUGUCUAGGAUUCUAGAAUGUUAAGUUUAAUUCGUGUAAUGAUAUGAACUUAUGGUAAAUGUUGGUUUUGUGACUGUAUAGACUCCCAUACUUGUGAAU
rnacentral:lncRNA from 1 species